rnacentral:rRNA from 1 species
UACAGAGGGUGCAAGCGUUACUCGGAAUCACUAGGCGUAAAGCGCAGGUAGGCGGUUUGGUAAGUCUUUUGUGAAAGCUCCCGGCUCAACUGGGAGAGGUCAAAGGAAACUACUAGGCUAGAGUGUGGUAGGGGAUACUGGAAUUCCUGGUGUAGCGGUGAAAUGCGUAGAUAUCAGGAGGAAUACCUAUGGCGAAAGCAGGUAUCUGGGCCAUCACUGACGCUGAGCUGCGAAAGCGUGGGGAGCGAACAGG